UUUAAUACAACUUAAGAAAGCUGCUGUGGUGAAAUGAAGGUGAAGGCCAAUGGCUCGCCCACCAGCCGAAGUGGGAUCCCAAGCUUUCUCCAGUCCACCAAGGGUGUACCACUAGCCUGUCUUGCCCACUGCACCAGGGAGGUGGAGCAUGAGCACGUGUGUUAGGACGUGGAAGAUGGUGAACUAACUAUGCCUGGGCAGGACAAAGCCAGAGGAAAUUCAGGUAGUGGUCCUGAUGUGCAAGUCGGUCAUCUGACCUGGGUAUAGAGGUGAAAGACUAAUUGAACCAUCCCUCAGGGUAGCUGGCACUCUUGCAGAAAUAAAAAACUUGAAAACAACCCAGGUAGUUUAAUCCUUUAAAGCCAAAGAUUAGAGGUCUUGGGGCCAAAACGAUCUCAACCUAUUCUCAAACUUUAAAUGGGUAAGAAGCCCAGAUGGAUGGUGUGGAUCUGGGCAUGAAUGUGAGUGCCUAGUGCGUCACUUUUGGUAAGCAGAACUAGCACUGUGGGAAGAACCAAACAUCAGGUUAAGGUGCCUGAUUGCCAGUGCCCAGCAGACCCCAGAAAAGGUGUUGGUUGAUAUAGACUGCAGGAUGGUGGCCAUGGAAGUUGGACUCUGCCAAGGAGUGUGAAACAACUCACCUGCUGAAUCAACUAGCCCUGAAAAUGGAUGGUGCUGGAGCGUGGGGACCAUACCUGGCCAUCGCUGGCAGUCAAAACACGGUGGACAGGAGCGAAAGCAACCUGAGAUUGCUAUGCCAUUACAAGUAGGAGAGCCACUGUGGUGAGCCUUGAGGCCUAGGGCGCAGCCCGGGUGGAGCUGCUGCAGGUGCAGAU
rnacentral:rRNA from 1 species